GCAGCCCGGCUCCAUUCACGCUGCAAUACGGCAGAGGCCACGGCGUAUUGUAGGGAAGUGAAUAGUAUAAGUCAUCCAGGGGAGCACAAUGCGGCAGCGGCUGGAUGACGUGCAGGUGCUGUUGUUUAUCUGCUUUGAUUUGAAGAAAUGAAUCGUCAUUUAGCCCUGAUUUGACCUCCGUCUUGUUCUGCUCGUUAGAGCGUUUUCAUACUGCAGAGCUUCACAUUUUCACCCUCCGAAGCUCGUUAUUCCCGAUGGUUAUUGGGACACUUCUGGAAAAUAGAUGGACUUCUCAGCACGCCGGACCUUCUGAGAGCAGAUCUACUGCAUCUAUGGAAAGUAUUCACCCGCUUUUUACUGCUUUUACAAAAUCGAUCACGGUCAGUAAAAUGUAACUUUUUUGAUUAAAAAAAUAAGAAAAAAAAUCC